GACGAACGCUGGCGGCGUGCCUAAUACAUGCAAGUAGAACGCACAGUUUAUACCGUAGCUUGCUCCACCAUAGACUGUGAGUUGCGAACGGGUGAGUAACGCGUAGGUAACCUGCCUGGUAGCGGGGGAUAACUAUUGGAAACGAUAGCUAAUACCGCAUAAUAUUAAUUAUUGCAUGAUAAUUAAUUGAAAGGUGCAAUUGCACCACUACCAGAUGGACCUGCGUUGUAUUAGCUAGUAGGUGAGGUAACGGCUCACCUAGGCGACGGUACAUAGCCGACCUGGGAGGGUGGUCGGCCACACUGGGACGGGGACACGGCCCAGACUCCUGCGGGGGGGAGCAGGAGGGGAACUUCGGGAAAGGGCGAAAGGCUGAACGAGCAACGCCGCGGGAGUGAAGGAAGUUGUCGGGUCGGAAAACUCUGUUGUAAGGGAAGAACGGGUGUGAGAGUGGAAAGUUCACACUGUGACGGUAUCUUACCAGAAAGCGACGGCUAACUACGUG
rnacentral:rRNA from 1 species